GUUGUUCAAGAGGCACACAACUGUGAUACUUUCCCCCAGUGGGUUUUUUUCCCUAGGAAAAAAAGUGCCAGAACUCAUUGUCUCAGUCGCCAAUGCAGGCGCCAUCUUGAAACCAAAAUCACGUGACCAAAUGCCAGGCUACAUCCAGUGGCGGAGAGCAGGUGGGGGCGGGGCUGGUGUGCGCCGCCCGCAGGGGUGUGGCACCCAGCAUGGGCAGGGGGUAGCCAUGAUGGCACCCUACCAGGAUCGUGCUGUCGGGGACGGUGCGCUCCCCCCCCCACUCCUCUUCCUCCGCCACUGGCUACAUCUUACAGGGAGAUUCAGAUUGUCCCUCCCCCAGCGCCUUUGCUCAUUAACGGGGAGCAAGGCGCACAUGUACUCUUCUAGGCUGCAACUUGAAAUCCUGUUGUUUUAUACCCUUGUUCCUUUGCGGCCGACUUACAGUGCAAAGCCUUUGAAGCAGAGGUACUUGGUGGUCACAGCCAUCCAGUGCAGACCCCCCAGAUUGCACAUGGCCAUGGCAGCAGCUGGCCAUGACCUCCUCCAGCCUCUGAGCAUGCACCCCUGUGUCAUCCUGGCCCGCCCUGCGCAGGCACCCCCGGAAGGGCAAGCCUCAGCUGUUAGCUCUCUGCAUCACAGUGCAACUGGGGUGACCAGCAUGCGUUGUUCCUUGGCUCCUGCUGACCGCUUGGAGACUGACCGUGGUUUUUGCGGACAAGCAGCAGAAUCAUUGUCAGUAGACCUGCUCUCAAUGGUGCCCAGCUGAGAGGUGCCAGAGCUUUUUUCACAGCAAUCCCCCCCCAUCUCUCUCCCUCCCUCUCUCUCUCUCUCUCUCUCUCUCUCUCUCUCUCUCUGAUAACAAUUGGUAUUAGUUUUCAAUUAUAAUAAUCCAAUAAUAGCCUCAUUAUAUCAAUGCCAAAUUGCAAUACAAUUCCCAAUAUCAAUCAUUCAGAUACCCAAUUACAUAAUUUAGGUGGCCCCACACAUGCUAGAAUUGAUGGUUCGGUGAUUUACUUUAUUUCUGCAUUCCAAAAUUGUACUGAUUUCAGUUGCAUUCCUGUCAUAAUAGUAAUCCCUUAUACAACAGCUGCAAUAUUUAUAGCUUCUAUUUGUAUUGACACAUUUGAUGAUUUGUAAGUCUACAAAUGAAGAUCUGUAUCCUUGAUCUUCCUUUUCACAGCAAUUGAUCCAGGCCCAGCGUAUCAACUGGUUGCCUGCAUGUAUGAACGAACCACCAUCCUUAAAUGCCAUUGAAAAGCAUUUUAUACUGAUGUUUACCUGCAGUUUACCUGAUGUUACCAACAAUGAGAAUAGUUAUGAAACGUUCCUCACAAUAGCCGUUUGUGCAUGUGUUACCUUGAAUCUGGACAAUAAAUGUCACCUACGUGGGUAAAAAGGGAAAAGUCCCCAAAGUGCUACUGUGAAUUCGUCCUCGAAUUACACUUGCCGGCUUGACAAUCCCACAUUGUAGUUUUCAUAUCCACUAAAGCAGGGAUCAGCGAACUUUUUCACCAGGGGGCCAGUCCAUUGUCCCUCAGACCUUGUGGGGGGCUGGGCUAUAUUUUGAAAAUAAAAAUAAAAAUGAACAAAUUCCUAUGCCCCACAAAUAACCCAGAGAUGCAUUUUGAAUAAAAGCACACAUUCUACUCAUGUAAAAACACCAGGCAGGCCCCACAAAUAACCCAGAGGUGUAUUUUAAAUAAAAGGACACAUUCUACUCAUGUAAAAACACGCUGAUUCCCGGACCGUCUGCAGGCCGGAUUUAGAAGGCAAUUGGGCCAGAUCUGGCCCCCGGGCCUUAGUUUACCUAAAGGUAAAGGUAAAGGUACCCCUGCCCGUACAGGCCAGUCGUGUCCGACUCUAGGGUUGCGUGCUCAUCUCGCUCAAGAGGCCGUGAGCCGGCGCCAUCCGAAGACACUUCUGGGUCACGUGGUCAGCGUGACGAAGCUGCAGCUGGUGAGCCAGCACCAGCGCAGCACACGGAAACGCCGUUACCUUCCCGCUACUUGCACUUAAAGAUGCUUUCGAACUGCUAGGUGGGCUCAUGGACUAAAGGGACACUCUAUUUGCUGAUAUACAGUUCCUCUGGGGAUGUGCUUCAUGGCUUUCACUUACUGUUUUUAUUGUCUUCAUUUCUUGAUCCCUGACACUCUGUGUUUAUAUUUAUAUGAGGAUGAUACUUGAUUUACUGACAGGGUGGGAGGAAAAUGGCAUGACAAAUAUCCCUCUUUCCAGGAGGAAACAAAAAGUGUGUCUGUAGUCUCUGCAUCCAAACAAGUGAUACAUGGCGGGGCCAGCUGGACGAAAUCUCUGCACUUAGUUUCUACAUUUUAUUCCCGUAAAUAUUGUGUUUUGAACAAACAAAUGGAAAUUUAUCUGAAGAUUGAUACUAAUGUUCUAGAGUUAAGACAUAUUAUGCAAUAAAAUGUGAUUCAUAAGAUAGAAAUUCACCGUAUUCUCUGAUAGACCCCCAACAGCUGACUUAUCUUGCCUGGGAAUCUAGCACAUCUCUUAAAAUGUUCCCCUUUUAAAGGAUGGGACUUGAACACUUUGACCUAGAAAAUAGCAUGUUUUGCUGCUAAAGCUAGGUCCUAUCUUCUUCAUGCGUGUUCAUUUCGCUGUACAUUGUUGCUUUCGUUUGUCAGGGAAAUUAUUAGAAAUACUUUGCGCAGAAUUUGCUCUCCAGCCGAUUUAGGGGUACAGUGCAGCACUUGUGAGGGGCAGCAGUUGCAUGUGGUAAUGUGCCCUCAUAGCUCCGCACAGUAGGAAUGGGUUCGAAGAGGGGCUGGUCCAUCAUUUUUGCAGCAAUUACAUAGCCAAGAGAAUUGAGAGAGUUGCGAUCUUGACCCAAAUUCUACCCCAGUACGAAUGCAUUGCAUAUCAUAGAAUUGUAGAGUUGGAAGGAGCCAAAUGGUCAUGAAGUCCAACCCCCUGCACUGUAGGAAUCUCAGCUAAAGCAUCCAUGACAGAUGGAAACCCAACCUCUGUUUAAAAACUUCCAAGGAAGGAAAGUCCACAACCUCAUGAAGGACAACGCUACAUUGUGAAACAGCUCUUUACUGUCAGAAAAUGCUUCCUGGUUUUUAGCCAGAAUCUCCUUUCUUGUAACUUGAAGGCAUUGGGUCAAGUCCUCCCCUCCAGAGCAGGAGAAAACAAGUUUGUUCCCUCUUCCAUGUGACAGCACUUGAGAUAUUUGAAGAGGGCUAUCAUAUGCUUUCAGUCUCCUCUUUUCCAGGCUAAACAUACCCAGCUCCUUCAACCGUUUCUCAUCAGGCUUGGUUUCCAGACCUUUGAUUAUUUUGGCUGCCCUCCUCUGCACACGUUCCAGCUUGUCAAAAACCUUCUUAAAUUGUGGUGCCCAGAAUUGGACACAGUGCUGCAGGUGGGGUCUAACCAAGGCAGAAUAGAAUGGUACUCUUACUUCCCUUGACCUGGACAGUAUACUUCUGUUGAUGCAGCCUAGAAUAGUGUUUUUUGGUGUGUGUGGUUUUUCUUUGCAAGAACUCAUUGCUGUGCACAUUCACAAACAACUAGUAGGCACCUGCUUUGUUAGUGUUGAAAUGCUUCUUAUGUUACAAAAUAUGGACAUGUGAAUAUUCACUUCCAUGCCUGAUAAUCUGAUGUUUGAAAACAACAUGAACAUUCUCCCAGAGAAUGUAAGAUUGAUAAAGACAAAGAGCUUUACAUUUUUAGCCUUUGUCCCAGUGGCCAUGAAUACCUGUAGUUUUACAGAACCAUAUUCUUCAUUAUGGUGGUACCUUGGUUCUCAAACUUAAUCUGUUCCGGAAGUCUGUUCCAAAACCAAAGCGUUCCAAAAGCAAGGCAUGCUUUCCUGUAGAAAGUAAUGCAAAAUGAAUUAAUCCGUUCCAUAUUUUUAAAAACAAACAGCAAUUGAACAUGAAUUUUACUAUCUAAUGAGACCAUUGAUAAGUAAAUAGCAAAACCAGACAGACCUCAGUGUAACACUCGAAACGGAAGCGUAACAUUCAAAAUGGAGCACGUUCGGCUUCCAAAAAAAGUUCACAAACCGGAACCCUUACUUCCGGGUUUGCAGUGUUUGGGUUCCAAGUUGUUUGAGUACCAAGGAAUUUGAGAACCAAGGUACCACUGUAUAGCCACCCAAAAACUUGUGAUGAGUAUAGCAACAUAUUAGUGUUCUCCAUGUUGGGAAUGCAUGAUCUGCUCCCAGAGCAGGGCAGACUGCUGGAAUGCUUUGCACAAGUUCUCCAUUGUUCACAUUGUACAGCUAGACCAUCUUCAGUUCUUUCUUACAGUUCAAUAAUAGCAGCCAAUCCAUUUCCUUCUUAAUGACCUGGAAUCGAGGUUUGCUGGGAUUUCCCUGUCCCCACCACCACACAGCAGAGUUUUAAAGCAGCAUAUUACUGAAAGAAGCAAGGGGAGGCUUCAUCACAGAGGAUGAGGGCAGGGUGCGAUGUCGGGAAUGAGGUUUCUUUUUCUCCCUCCAGGGUUCUUAAGUCUGGAGUAUUUUGUUCCUUCCACCUGUGGGGUGUGUCUAAAAGAAUCUCUAUUGUGGGUCACACCCAUUGGAUUGAGAAACAUUGCUCUAAGCUACCAACCUGUCAAAGUUGUUGUUCUCAUCUGCUUCCCUCCCCCCACCCCUAAUUUCUGGAUUAUUUUCUUAGUUCGUUUUCUUCCUGUAGCAGAUUUCCAGCUGCUGAUGCUCAAAACCCAACAUUACAUUUUCAAAAUAAAAUUGUAAAUACAGGAUCUCUAUUUAAGGCGCCGGGAGGUUCUCUAUCAUGUCAAUGGCUAGGAGGUUGAAAAUUUUAAACAGAUUUGCCACUUCUUUUUCACUUUAAGGACUUGGUAAAGUAAGAAAUUGGUAAAGUCCAUUGUCAGGCAGAGAAGAAUACAGUGAAGGGGGGGAAAGUAAAAUAUGCCCCCCUCCAUGUUUGAUGGUGGGGAUGGUGUUCUUGGGGUUGUGGGCAGCAUUCCUCCUCCUUCAAACACGGCGAGUUGAGUUGAUGCCAAAGAGCUCAAUUUUGGUCUCAUUUGACCACAACACUUUCACCCAGUUCUCCUCUGGGUAAUUCAGAUGUGCAUUGACAAACUGCAGACAGGCCUGUACAUGUGCUGUCUUGAGCAAGGGGACCUUGCGGGCUCUGCAAGAUCUCAGUCCUUCACAGCGUAGUGUGUUACCAACUGUUUUCAUGGUGACUAUGGUCCCAGCUGCCCUAAGAUCAUUGAAAAGUCCCCCCCCCCCCCCGUGCAGUUCUGGGCUGCUUCAUCACCGUUCUCAUGAUCAUUGCAACUCCACAAGAUGAGAUCUUGCAUGGAGCCCCAGACCGAGGGAGAUUGACAGUUAUUUUGUGUUUCUUCCAUUUGUGAAUUAUUGCACCAACUGUUGUCACCUUCUCACCAAGCUGCUUGGCAAUAGUCCUGUAGUCCAGUCCAGCCUUGUGCAGGUCUACAAUCUUGUCCCUGACAUCCUUGGACAGCUCUUUGGUCUUGGUCAUAGUCAUGGUGGCUACUUUGGAAUCGGCUGGAUUGAUUGCUUCUGUCAACAGGUGUCUUUUAUACAGGAACUGUAACGAGCUGGGAUUACAGGUAAGACCUCUCCCUUGCAUCAGGUGCUCCUAAUCUCAGCUCGUUACAUACAGUGAAGAUACCAGAUAGCCUGACAUCUGGCUGGUUGAUAGGGGAUCAAAUACUUAUUUCACUCGUUAUAAUGCACAUCAAUCUCUGACUUUUGUCUUCUGGGUUUCUGGGGUUUUUCCUGUUGAUAUUCUGUCUCUCACAGCUACAGUAAACCUACCAUUAAAAUUAUGGACUGGUCAUUUCUUCAUCAUUGGGCAAACGGGCAAAUUUAGCAGGGGAUCAAAUACUUUCCCCCCUCACUGUAGAUGGAGGCAGGAUCCAGAGCAAGAAAGGAGGAUCUUUAUUUUUUGAUUGCAACAGGGUUCCCCCCCAUUGCAAAGGGGUGAGAACCCAGAGCAAAGAUUUCAGAAAUUGCCCAACUCCUUAGCCAAAGGCCACCUCAAAAGCAUCAUACAUACAACAGAAAUUUGAGAGUGUGGCUUGCUUCCAGGCUGACAAGAUACCAAAUAAUGGUCACUGAUCACAUUACCUGGGCAGUCUGGCCAUUAUUUUGAGAUGGUAAAUACUUUAGUUCUUGAAUCCAGGUCACUAGCAUACCCGAUUCAUACCAAAAAUACGCCCUUAAGACAGGAUUUAAAGGAUUUGUAAGUGAAAGAACUAUUGGGAAAGGUUUCUCCAAGAUAUUUCCUUCUGCAGAGGAAAUAUUUAGAGUCAUUAGGAGAGCCAAGAUGGCUUGGGGGAUUGUUCUGUGUGCUAGUAUAAAGUGUAAUUUUCACAGGGAAUAUUUCCUAAAUUUUGAAGGGCAAAGGAUUGGUUUCCUGCAGAGUGUGUGUCUCCUAUGUGUGCACACCUUAAUUUUAUAACAGUGGGUGACAAAAGAAGGUGACAGAUUCAAAAAGCACCCAAUUCAAGCCAGAAAUGAUGAGCUGGGACCACACUUAAGAGUACAGUCCCAAUUCUUCCUUUGCAGCUGUGGCUUGAGUUAAAGCUAAGACAGCAAAACAGGAAGGAAGGGUUUACAUUUUAAUCACCUGAUGUCACAUGUCGUCAGGCCCUACAUCUGUCAAAUUGGCCUACCUUCCAUUCCCCACCCCUGGUUAAUAAACACAAGAGGCUAUUGUUUCACAUGUGUUUCCCUAUUAUCUAACAUCAUUCGUCUCAGUUGAUAUCAGUAACUUUCAGCAAGAGAGAUUCUACUUGGAUCAGAUCAUGCACUGUUUGAGAGACUGCUGGAAGUACAACUGCCCUGGGUUCCUAGCCUGCAUAUCAGUGACUGUUCCAGCAAACUGAGAAGUAUCCCUAGGUUGGAGAAGUUGUUUAGGGAGGCAGAAAUAAGUCUGUCUCAGGACAACAAAUAUGCAGCCGCUGUGAAAGGAAGCAAAAGCCUGAGAUUCCUUCCGUGAGAACAGGAUGAAUUAGAAGUAGAAUGCAUGUGUCAUAAGGGAGGGGAUGUGAAGGCUUGUAACUGAAGCCGAACUGUCACCUGGUACGAGUUCUGCCAUAAAAAAAAGGGUGUGGCAGAAUUACUACUAAGUCCAAUUGCAGACACAUACGCCUCUGUAUCUUAGUUGCUGGUAGUCAUAGGAACAUAGGAAGCUACAGAAUCAGACCAUCAGGUUCAGCUGGCUUAGUAUUGUCCAUGCUGACCAUCAGUGACUUUCUGGGGUUUCAGAAAGUGUUGUUUCCAAGUCCUACCUGGAGAUUCCAGGGAUUGAAUUUGGGAUCUUCUGCAUGGAAAGCUCUACCAAUGAGCUAUGGCCCUUCCACACUGGAGAAGAAGAAGAAGAAGAAGAAGAAGAAGAAGAAGA